UUUCUCCUAACACAGUUUUCAUUUUUCAUUAAUACGACAGCGUUUCUACCCAAUCAACACGUCAAAACGCCCCCUUUGGCUUCUUCGCUGGCAUGGUCGAGAAAGGUGAAGAAAAUCGACAAUGAAGAGUUUUAUCCAUGCAAUGCCUAUUCUCAAAACUUCUUGAAGCUGGUUGCACAAUAAUCAUUUCUGGCCUUUUUUGUCACUUCUAUUUGCUUAGUCUCUCUCUAUCUUUUCUCGGAAUUGACAAUUAUAGAGUUCAUCAGAGGAUGAAAUAAUCGAAGUGAAAAAGGAAACUCGAAGAAGAUUCACUAAAGCCAACUGUGCUAUCACCAAAAAUUACAGCUGAUAUCCCACAAAUUAGGCAAUAUAGCUGCCUUGAGGUUUAAAUAGCCCCCAGAGGCAACGGUAGAGAUGUAAAAAGCAAGCGCUCAUGAUCAGUAAUGUAUGGUUAAAUAAAAGUUACUCCUAUUAUUUACUGGGGUGAAGUAUAAGAACAGAAUUUUGGGUAUAUUCCAACCAUGUGAACUUAUUUGAUUUUGAAUUGUUAACUUUCUGACGUAGAAGUUCGUUAGAAUAUCGUCAUUUAUUAA